AGAAAAUAGAUACCCUGGUAGUCCACGCUGUAAACGAUGGAUGCUAGCUGUGAUACGUAUCGACCCGUGUCGUAGCGAAGCUAACGCGUUAGGCAUCCCGCCUGUGGAGUACGGCCGCAAGGCUAAAACAUAAAGGAAUUGACGGGGACCCGGCACAAGCGGUGGAGCGUGUUGUUUAAUUCGAUGGUAAGCGAAGAACCUUACCCAGGUUUGACAUCCUUGGAAAUUCUGCGAAAGCAGAGUGUGCCUUUUGGAACCAAGUGACAGGUGAUGCAUGGCCGUCUUCAGCUCGUGUCGUGAGACGUUAGGUUAAGUCCUUCAACGAGCGCAACCCUUAUAGUUAGUUGUAUUUUCUUAGCUAGACUGCCCUGGUAACAGGGAGGAAGGAGGGGAUGAUGUCAGGUCAGUAUCUCCCUUAUAUCU
rnacentral:rRNA from 1 species